GAUAGUCAUCAGAGAGCCAGUAGCCUGGGCUAGCAGCACUCUCAUGCACUGGGGCCAUGAUGGGCAGU
rnacentral:miRNA from 1 species